rnacentral:sRNA from 1 species
UAGUAACCCUGAUGGAAGCGAUAGCUUCUUAAACUUGUUUAAGAACUAAAGCGUACAGCAGGAAUAAGG